GUAUUCGAAGUCUUUCAACAGCCCAAGCUUCUACGGAACGAUUACCACUUGCUGAUUGUAUGGCACCCAUAUGUUCAGCGUACCAAGCUACCUUGGCCUACAUUAUGGUCCUUUUAAAAGAAGAAGAAGUAUGAAAAGAAAAAGAAAAAAAAGAAAGAAAGAAAGGAGAAAAAGGGGAAGAAAUAUCGUUCACGAUUACGAGCCGUAACUCGUCAACGCCUUAUUUAAACCGGCGUCUCGAAACAAGCUCGUUUAAAGAUGGAGCAAUUUCCAUUCAUCAUUGAUUCAACAAAAUAUAGUCGCGACAUAUUAAAUAAUCGGAGCGUAGAUUUUUCCUGUUAACGUUCCCAACAAACGUAACGUUUAUUUUUUUAUCAAGGAUAUUGACAUGAAGACAUUUCGGAGUAUUAGUUCAUUUGUUUGUAUUUGCUAUUGAACUUUUUGAUUACCAUCACCAAUGAUAACAUAUAAUUAUUCGUAUAAUUGAAUUAGAAAUGCAAAUUUAAAACAAAAAAAGGUUGAAAAUUAUAGAACAUCUUCCAGGAAAAUGAUCAUUUUAGAUAGAAACUUUCUCCCUUUCAUUAACGGAUCAUUGCUUAUCUAUCAUUGAAAAAUUAGUUAAAAAAAAACAGUACUUUCUCAUUGACAUUACAUAAUUACAUCUAGUAAUGAAGCAGACGACAAAUCAGAUAUAAGAUAUAAGUACUGUUAAUUCUUUAUAUCUACUCAUGUACCUCGAAUAUUUCUCAAACUUGUGGGAAAUUUUAUCUAGUUUAGAUAAGGAAUAAAUUGUUCCCUCUUCGUACUCUAAUUACAAUAAAAAAAAGGAUGUUACGUUUGGUGUCUAUUUGAGGAUCGCACCGUAUCUUAACUGUAAUUGUAACGGACAACCUGGUUCCUUAACUGCAAUGAGUACAAGGCUGUAAUGCUGCAAUCUUACUUUCAGUUACGCUUGUGCUCGUGUUAUCCUGGUAACUUCUGCUAAAUAUUCUCGCUUCUCCCUUUCAUACUUUAAGCAAGGUCGAUCGUAAUAAAUAAUAAAAAAAGUUUAAUAUAUA